AUAUGCAUGCAAUUGACAGUACUCCCUACGGAUCAAAUAUACAUGCAGUUCAGAAAUUUAAAGGUGAGUGAAAAUUCCUUUUGUGCAGAAGGUGCUACCAAUUUAGAGAUUGCUAAGAAAACCAUGCAUAUACAUAUAGCGACAACAGCAACAUUAAAAAUUAAAUAUUUCUUGCUUUGCUUGGUUUACGACCAUUAUACUAUUACAUUCAGCCCAUAAUCUGAUGUCAAUGUUCAGACUUAUUAAAAGUUAAGCCUUUUAGUGUAAUGGCUACUUACAAUAGCCGCUUAUGGUAAUUACUGGCGCCACACAGUUCAGCUAGAAUUAUUACCUUAAAGCGAAUAUUCUUCUCUAUUGUUGGCAGAGAUGGCCUAGUUGGCAGUGCUACCAUACACCAUGACUUUGACCACUAUAGAUGGAUCUGACGAAUCAUCAUGCUAUGCCAACAAUUUCAAGCUCCUUCAAAGGCUUCUCUGAUGACUUCCUGCUGUCGACAGGUUACCUCUCAUUGGGGUAGUCACAAUGGUGAGAUUCCUUAGUGUUCCAUUGAAAUUAUAUAUGCCAUACUUUGCCCUUAUCACUCAAAUUAAAUUAUUUUACAUUUCAUUUCCA